rnacentral:rRNA from 1 species
AGACAACAGGGAUUGCCUCAGUAACGGCGAGUGAAGCGGCAACAGCUCAAAUUUGAAAUCUGGCCCUUGGGUCCGAAUUGUAAUUUGUAGAGGAUGUUUUUGGUGCGGUAUCUUCCGAGUUCCUUGGAACAGGACGCCUUAGAGGGUGAGAGCCCCGUACGGUUGAAUACCUAGCCUCUGUAAAACUCCUUCGACGAGUCGAGUAGUUUGGGAAUGCUGCUCUAAAUGGGAGGUAAAUUUCUUCUAAAGCUAAAUACUGGCCAGAGACCGAUAGCGCACAAGUAGAGUGAUCGAAAGAUGAAAAGCACUUUGAAAAGAGGGUUAAAUAGCACGUGAAAUUGUUGAAAGGGAAGGAUUUAUGACCAGACUUUUUCUGGGCGGAUCAUCCGGUGUUCUCACCGGUGCACUUCGUUCAGUUUAGGCCAGCAUCGAUUUUCGGUGGGGGAUAAAAGCUUUAGGAAUGUGGCUCCUCCGGGAGUGUUAUAGCCUAUUGUAUAAUACCCUGCUGGGGAUCGAGGUACGCGCUUCUGCAAGGAUGCUGGCGUAAUGGUUAUCAAUCACCCGUCUUGAAACACGGACCAAGGAGUCGAACAUUUGUGCAAGUGUUUGGGUGUUAAACCCUCACGCGUAAUGAAAGUGAACGGAGGUGAGAGCCCUUACGGGUGCAUCAUCGACCGAUCCUGAUGUUUUC